AGAGUUUGAUCCUGGCUCAGGAUGAACGCUGGCGGCGUGCUUAAUACAUGCAAGUCGAGCGAGGACCACUUGGUGGCAACACCGGGUGGCUCCUAGCGGCGAACGGGUGAGUAACACGUGGGCAACCUGCCCCCGACUCUGGGAUAAGCCCGGGAAACUGGGUCUAAUACCGGAUACGAGCCUCCUCCGCAUGGUGGAGGUUGGAAAGGGUCUCCGGUCGGGGAUGGGCCCGCGGCCUAUCAGCUUGUUGGUGGGGUAACGGCCCACCAAGGCGACGACGGGUAGCCGGCCUGAGAGGGUGAACGGCCACACUGGGACUGAGACACGGCCCAGACUCCUACGGGAGGCAGCAGUAGGGAAUCUUGCGCAAUGGGCGAAAGCCUGACGCAGCGACGCCGCGUGCGGGACGAAGGCCCUCGGGUUGUAAACCGCUUUCAGCAGGGACGAAGCGAAAGUGACGGUACCUGCAGAAGAAGGUCCGGCCAACUACGUGCCAGCAGCCGCGGUAAUACGUAGGGACCGAGCGUUGUCCGGAUUCAUUGGGCGUAAAGAGCUCGUAGGCGGCCACUCAAGUCGAAUGUGAAACCUCGAGGCUCAACCUCGAGCCUGCAUUCGAUACUGGGCGGCUAGAGUCUGGUAGGGGGAUCUGGAAUUCCUGGUGUAGCGGUGGAAUGCGCAGAUAUCAGGAGGAACACCGGUGGCGAAGGCGGGAUCCUGGGCCAGUACUGACGCUGAGGAGCGAAAGCGUGGGGAGCAAACAGGAUUAGAUACCCUGGUAGUCCACGCCGUAAACGAUGGGCGCUAGGUGUGGGAGGUCAUCGACUCCUUCCGUGCCGCAGCUAACGCAUUAAGCGCCCCGCCUGGGGAGUACGGCCGCAAGGCUAAAACUCAAAGGAAUUGACGG
rnacentral:rRNA from 1 species